ensembl:snRNA U6 U6 spliceosomal RNA
CUGACUGCCUAGGCAACACAUAUACUAGAACUGGAAUGCUAUAGACAAUAUGGCCCUUGCACAAAGAUAACAGGCAAAUUUGUGAAGUGUUACAUAAUUUU